GUGAAGUGGACAUCACUGCUGGAGGCAACUCUGGGGGUUAAACCAUUCAAGAACUGUUUAAACCCUGAAGUUUCAGAUGUUAUCUUCGAACAGGGCUGCCAUCCUUCUUGGAAAAACACACAGGAUGUUGUUGGAGUAGAUGAUCAGCUUGCAGAAUCUGAUACAAAAUAGUUAACUUGAAAAAAAAUCUACACAAUUUAUGGUCAGAAUGGCGGCUGCAAUCGAAUUGGUAGAGGCCCCAAGGCAGGGACUGCCAACGGAGGCACGUAUGAGCUUCUGGAGGCCUUUGACCACUUGUGCACAAACUUUUACAUGAAGUUGGAGUCUCAACAGAAAUGUAUGGGUCAAGAACUCUCUUUCCAACAGUUUGACAAGUUAAGACAGGAAGCAGGCCUCUGCCCACACAAGCAAAUCAAGACUUUGAGAUUUUAUUGUCCAAGCCUCUCUGGGAGACCAUUUAGGGGAAUCCACCCUAUUGCACUGCCAUCAACUAACAGAUUCCUACAUCUGCAGUGUCAGGUCUGGAAGGUACUUUGUUUAUCCUCACAUACUUACAUGGUGACUGGUUGGUGGCUGCCCCAAGGGCUUACUGUUUGGACAGUAGCAAACUAAUGUAGACAGUGCCCUGGUGCCAAAGUUGUCUCCCUUGUAGAUAAGGGAUGGCCAACAGGUAGAUCCACAGCUGUCUUAAAACU